ensembl:lncRNA
AUGAGCCAAAAGACAACAACAACAACAGAGUCAGGAGAAAGCCCGAAGCUGUCGGCUCAGAGAAGUGAUGCUUUGAACCUAGACGCUUUUUCAGGAGACAUAGAGCUGAAGGUUUACAUCCAGGGUCCUGGGACUGAGACAAACAACAUUAAACAACUUCUAAACGAGUUUCAAGGACUUUACGAGCAGAGGUUCAGAUGCCUGGAGCUGGACACCACCGCAACCCGAGAAGACCUGCUGCAGAGGAAAGUGAAUUUCCUGCGGUCUUAUGUCAGUGACCUCACAGACCAGAACCAGGUGCUGGUUCAGACCAUUGAGGAUCUGCAGGAGGAAACUGACCACAAGGUUUCCAACUGGGCAAUGAAGCCACACACCUCUGCUCACAGUUUGGAAGACUUGAAUCAACAAAGGACAUCCCUGGAGCAAAGUGUGUAUGCUCUGCUCCGAGAAGAAAGAUCUGAGGUGUCUGCUGUUGAUUUGAAGACUAUUUUACUGGAUGAGCUUGUUGGACCUGCAGUUCACAUCCCAGACAGUACUGCUUCCUUGGUCCAGAUUGCAUCCGAGUUAGAAGACCUGAAAAUCCAGUUGCAAACCAAGGACAUCUUCAUCUCUGAUCUGGAGAAGGAGCUCAGGGAGAAUUUCCAGCAAAAGCAAAAGACUGCAACACAGGUGCUGGAAAGUAGUGAGAGGCUGGUGCACCUGCAGAGCGAGCUCUCUUGUCUGCAGCGGAUCCAGAAAGACAACAUGAAGGAGAUUGCUGAGAAAAACAUCUGCAUCACCAAGCUGCAAGCUAACAUUCAGCUGCUGCAACAAGAGGGGGCCGACACACAUGCUCAGCUCUCCAAACUGAGUGUGAGAGCGAAGGAGCUUCAGCAGGAUGAGCUGAAGAGAAAAGAGGAGGAAUGGAGGCAAAGAGAAGAGGAACAGAGACUGAAACAUGAAAAGGAGAUUCAACAAGCAGAGGAGAGGAGAAGGCAGGAGCAACAAACAAGAGAGGAGGAGGAGUGGGUGAAGAAAGUGGAGGAGGAGAGGAAGAGGCAGGAGUGGAAGAGGGAGCGUGAGGAGGAGAGAAAGACCCUUGCUGAAGCUGUUAAAAAGUGGUCUGAGAAGGCAGCUAUUUUGAAUUCUGAGUUGAAGGUCAGCAGGAAGCAGGUGGAGCGACAGAACAGGGAGCUGUCAGAGUCUCACCAGAAGGAGGAGACGCUUCUCUCUGAGGCCGAGGCCAAAAUGGUGUCUUUGAGGUGCGAGCUCACCGCCUUAUUUGAUGGAAUGAUGGAGAAGAAAGGGGUGAGGAUAAACCAACUAACUGAAGAGCUGAAUGCAGUGACUCAAAAGAUGAAAGAGAGAGAAGAGCAUGUGAGGCACCUGGACCAGGAUGUGGUUGGUUUGCGAGCCACACAGGACUCUCUAAAGAGAACCUUGGCUAUGAAGGAGGAACACACACAACAGCUGGUCCAAGACAACACGCAGCUCAAAGAAAGCUUGGCUUCACUGCAGAGCAAACUACAAACGAGCGAGUGCAUGUUGAGUGACAUCAGUGAAUCCCUGGAUCAGGCCAAAAUCGCCCUGAAUGCGGAAAGACAGCAGAGGCAGCAGAUCCAGGACCAGUUGCACCAUGCCAACAAAGAGAUGGAGCGUCUGCGGCAGGAACUGACACAUGUGCGUCACACCAGUGAAAAGAAGAUCCAGAAGAGGGAGAUUAAGAUGUGCGUGAUGAUGAAAGAGCUCACAGAGAGUAAGAAGCAGCACUCUGAAUGUCAGAACGAGUUGCUCCGAAGAGAGAAAGCUUCUGAGAAACUGUACGAGGAGAGGGAUGAACUGAUAGCCAAGAUGGAGGACCGGGGCAGAGAGUGUGUCCACCUCAACCAGACCAAAGACAGACUGGAGGCGGAUUUGGCUCUGAGCCAUGAGAAACUCCACACCUCACACCUGGAGGUUCGAAGCAGAGAUCAGUUAAUUCUGCAGUUGAGAGCUGAAAUGAAAACAGCUGAACAAAAGCAUCAAAGGACACAGGGACAGGUGGCAGCGCUGGAGGGUGAGUUAAGCCACUUGAAACCCAAGGUCAGAGGACACCAGGAAGAGGCCUGUCAGUUAAGAGAAAAGGUCAGAGGUAUUGAGCGCCUUAAAGACCAGAAGGAGAAAGAACAACAGCAGCUACACGAUCAGCUCCGUAUUAGUCAGCAACAGGUCGAGACAUUUGAAGGGAAGCUAAAGGAGCAGGAGGUUGAGAUGGGACUUCUUCAUCAGCAGCUUAAAGGAGCCAAGGAGGAGCUGAAAGAUGCCCAGGGGCAGAAAGAAACUGCAGCCAUCUUUAAACAAAAGUACACAGCAGCAAUAGAGAAGGUGCAUAGGGUGCAAGAGCAUGUGGAACUUUUGGAUGAGGAGCUACAGUAUUCACAGCAACAGCUAAGAGAGUCCCAAUCAGCAACUCAGUCGGUGAAGGAAGAGCUAGCUGAGAUGGUGAAGCGGUACCAGGAAAAGGUUGGCCAAUGGGAGAAUGCACAGGAGGCUCUUGACCAGUUGACAGAUGAGCUCCAGGCCAAUCAGAAUCUGCUGAAGGAGAGUCAGCAAAAAGUGGACCUUCUCAAAGGUCUUAUAGGAUCACUGCAGGAACAGGUGGACACACUCAAACAGCAGAAACUGAUGUUGGAGUGUGACCUACAGCUGUAUCAGCAGAGUCAUUCUCAUUCUGACGAGGAGUAUCUCAGCCUGUUGAGACACAGACAGCAGCUGCAGAAGCGCUGUACCGAGCAGGUUGAGGGCCUUGCGGAGUGUGAAAAGGCUAUUCUUCAGAUGAAGUCAGAGCUGCAGAGACAAACCCAGGAAAAAGUGGGUCUGAAGCAAAGUCUUGUUGCGUCUCGCCGUACGCACAUCAGCAAUCGCAGCCAGCUGGAACAGGAAGUGCUAUGUUUGAAAAAGGAAGUUACACGUUUAGAGCUUGAGCUGUCAGACACCCAAAAGGUACAUGUGGCACUUCUGAGACAGUCAGAGGGGGAGCUGAAGGAGGCCAGACGAGAGGCGGCGAGAAGGAGCAACGAGGUGGGUGUGCAGAGAGGAGAGGUGCAAAGACUUCAGGAAGAGUUACAAAAGUGGGAGGAGGAGAUGAGGAGUGCCAUCAGAGAGAAACAGAGUCUCAGCAGUCACAUCAGGCGGUUGAACCAAGAGCUGGAGGAGCUACGCAGCAAGCACAAAGUGACAGUGGAGGAGUUGGCAGCCCGUGCAGAGGAGGCGAGGCGGAUGGAGGGGUGCCUGAAUGAGGGAAAGCUAGCAGAGGAGAAAAUAAGGUCAAUGGCUGUGAGGCUGGAGACGGAGGUGGCAGAGCUCAGGAGGAAUCUGCAGCAUGCUGUCGAUCACAAACUCAAGGCAGAGCGAGAGAAACAGGACGCACAGGACCAGGUGGAUACACUCCGGUCAGAGCUGGAGGGGACAUGGUCUGACAAUACAAACCUUCGCCAUGAGAGCCAGCUGGUCAUGACGAAUGUCAACAGUUGGAUUACUGAACAAAAGGCUUCCAAUGAGAGCAUCAUUGCCCAGAUGAAGGCCCAAAACAAGCUGCUGCUCAUCAUCACUGAAGAAAAAGAACAUCUUCAGGAGGCUAAUGACACAUUGAAGGCGGAGGUAAAGAGACUGAAAGAAGUGGCGGAUGAGAAGGAGAGAGACACGGAACGCUUCAAGGCCCAGAUUCGAGACCAGGGCACCCGGCAAGACGAGAGAACCAUGGAAACACAGGGUUGUGUGGCUCUAAACCUCAGCAAAAUCGAGGACAUGCAGACAAGACUGCGACACAACCUGGAGGCCAUCGGAAUGCUAAAUCAACAAUUAAACGCCCUCAGCAGGGAGAAUAAGCAGUUGCGUAGGCAGCUGGAGGAGGAGAGGUCCAUGCGACUGCUCCUUCCUCCUCCCACCUCCCAACAGCGCUCCUUCUCCCGCCCACCUCCUCCCUCCGCCUCCCUACCCUCAUCCCUCCGCCUCCCUCAUCCCCUGAACCUGGACACAGCAGCGGGAGACACUGACAGGACUGUAAACCAAACCAAGCUGAGCAGUACUAGGCUAGAGAGACCAGGUGAGUCCCAGGCUUUGGGUGAAGCGUUCUGGAUUAGGCCGCCUGGCUCUGCCUCCCUGGAAGAUGCUCUGUCUGGGAGGACAAGCAGGGAUCUGACCAAGUGAAGCCCCCUGAAGACUCUGACCUGUCAUGACUUUUUGACCUCCAGCUGCUCACCAGGGAGUGUACUCAGUAUGAGGUUAAUGUCCUGCAGGUCAAAGUCAAGUCCCUGAGUGCUUUUUGCCUGAGGGGGCCUCCAGAACCAGUGAAUGAUGGAAUUCCAUCAAAUCGAAAUCUCAAAAAUGUCUACUACAUCAUGAAGACAUUUACUCCAAGAUAUGAACAUAUUCACAUUUCUUACUUUUAAAAAAAUGAAUUGGUUGCAUCCUCAAAGUGUUGCAAUGCUCUGAGCAGUGUUGGUUUAUAACAUUUGCAAUUACUUCUUCUUUUGCAACAAAACUGUAGCACUAAGCACUAAAAUAUUGUUUGUGUCUGUACCUUUUUAAAAAUUCCAUCAGUUCUGAGAAACUAUAAUCAAUUUAAUUCCACUUAAAUGAACUAAACAGAACAAGUGACUAACUCCAAAUUCUUUAGUGUUGAUGAAUGUGUCUCACACUGGAGAUGGAAGCUGUGGAUAAAUGAGGGACGGCAGAUCAUCAGGAUCCACAGACAUACCUCAGAUGUUGAUGCGAAUGGCUAUAACACAGUCUCUGAUUAUGCUGCAGCUGUGCGCCAUGUGUCCUCCAUCUACUGCGGUGAAUGUGGCCGUGUGUCUUUAUGUGUGAGUACGUUAUGUGUCUGCGUGUUUAUGUCUCUCUGUGAGUGCUUGUGUGUGAUUGAAUGUUGAUUAUUGUAGAUGCUGUUUUAUAUUUUUGUUUUAUUCUUUAAAAACUAUUUAUUGAUCUUUUUUUCCCCUCUGUUGCUGUGUUUAAGCCCCGCGUGUCAUAAAGGUGGAAAAAUAAAAACAGAUACAUUUGUAAAUGGUUGUAAAUUUUCCCCAUUUUUAUUUUCGCUGUCAGUGUACCAACAAUAUCUUAUUUCUACCAGUUGGAUUUAUGUAACAACAGGCUAGAAAUGCUACCUGUUACCAUGGCAUAAUUAGGCAUUUGUACAGUUUUACAUGACUGCUGAGACACAAAGAUGGUGACAACAUUUCUAAGCAGCAACAUUUUUUUUUUUUACAAAAGAUCUAAAAUGCGGCUUCGAAGCAGGGACUAUGGCACACUCACACCAUAUUGACUUGCUA